rnacentral:rRNA from 1 species
UGAGGAAUCUUGCCCAAUGGGGGAAACCCUGAGGCAGCGACACCGCGCGCGGGAUGAAGGCCUUCGGGUCGUAAACCGCUUUUCUGGGGGACGAGUAAGGACGGUACUCCAGGAAUAAGUCCCGGCUAACUACGUGCCAGCAGCCGCGGUAAAACGUAGGGGGCGAGCGUUAUCCGGAAUCACUGGGCGUAAAGGGCGUCUAGGCGGCAGCCUAAGUCCCGUGUGAGAGCUCCCGGCUCAACUGGGAGAGGGCAUGGGAGACUGGGCAGCUAGAGGCUCGGAGGGGGGUGUGGAAUUCCCGGUGGAGUGGUGGAAUGCGUUGAGAUCGGGAGGAACACCAGUAGCGAAGGCGGCACCCUGGCCGAGAUCUGACGCUGAAGCGCGAGAGCGUGGGGAGCGAACGG